UACGUAGGUGGCAAGCGUUGUCCGGAUUUACUGGGCGUAAAGGGUGCGUAGGCGGUCGGGUAAGUCUGAUGUGAAAUCUCACAGCUUAACUGUGAAACUGCAUUGGAUACUAUCCAGCUAGAGGAAUGGAGGGGAGACUGGAAUACUUGGUGUAGCAGUGAAAUGCGUAGAUAUCAAGUGGAACACCAGUGGCGAAGGCGAGUCUCUGGACAUUUCCUGACGCUGAGGCACGAAAGCCAGGGGAGCAAACGGG
rnacentral:rRNA from 1 species